AAAAAUAACCGAUCGUUGGAGGAACUUCAUCUAAUGACGUCACAGAAUCCAAUAUAAAUAGUUGAUCUGUGGGUUUCCUAUGAUAGUACACACGUUAUCACCGUACCAAGUUUACUAACUGCCACAACAUAUUAAGACUAUUUAACAGACUUCGAUAAUAGCUCUACACAUCUUAACAAUUAGGUUAUACUCGUCUUGCGCGCUGUGAAUGCUAUACCAUCAUAGAGUUCUUAACGGCACCAAGCUUCGUUUAAUAGUAGUAGUACUAUAUAACUACCGUUUACAGUAAACAGUCUCUGUACAAGUUUGUUCAACAAAUCGAUUUUGUUUUAGAUUUUAUCAAAAGUGGACUUUUCUGUUAUAUUUAUUAACAAAUAUUCAGAUGUGCCGAAAACAAUACAAAAGUUACUAAUGAUGCAAGCGAUAGAGACAUAGGUGCAGGUCUUGUAAUAGGUGACAAUCUCACUAGUGUUGUUUUAUUAUUAACUAAUAAAUAAACAGACAUGGGUUGUGUAAAUUCAACAAAAAAUAAAUUAAAGCAAGGAAAGUUCGAAACCUCUAAAUCUGGACAUCGGAAAACAUACUUGACAACAAAUGGGCAUACGGGAAAUGGAGUUUCCCCAGAGACAUCUCCCAGAGAAGAAGAUAUUAAACCAGCUAUCACAGAAAGACAAAAAGAACUAGUGUUAGAAUCGUGGGAGAUUGUACAGGCUGAUGUGUCCACAGUUGGGGUUAAUAUGUUCAUGCGAUUGUUUGAGACGCAGCCAGAUGUACAAGACGUGUUUGUUCCUUUCAAAGGGAAGUCAGUGGAUGAACUUAAAGACAGCACCCAACUUAAAUCUCACGCUAUGCGAGUCUUGAGUGCAGUGGAGAAAAGUAUAGCUAGUUUUGACAAUCCAAAACGGUUAGAGGAAAUGCUCAGUGAUCUUGGUGCCCGACAUGUUAUGUAUAAUGCCAAGGUGGAUUAUAUUGACUUGAUUGGACCGCAGUUCAUUUGGGCUAUAGAGCCAGUGGUCGGCGACAAGUGGAUUCCGGAAAUGGAACAAGCGUGGUCCGAUCUAUUUAAAUACAUCAGCCAUAUAAUGAAAGCGUCCAUGACGUUUUGACGGGUUUGUCUUCAUUACUGCCAGCUGAAAAUGAUGUUCUGCCUUUUAAUGACGAAACCAAACAUGCUUAGUUCAAGAAUCCUACAUUACAUAAUGAAGAAGUCGACAACUAACGAAAUUGUUAUGUAAAAUGCUCCUGGGGAAUAAAUAUAAAUCUAUGGGGGAUAAAUCA